rnacentral:lncRNA from 1 species
CCACUGCUUUUAGAGUUUUACCUAACUUCCAUAUGCCCCCACUAAGAUAAACAACAAAGUCACACACGACAGUCACAUAACUCCCUAUUCUUCAUAUUAUUCUCUCUAAUGCAUCCACAAGAAAAGCUAGUUAGUCAUGUACAUUUAUAGAUACAUAUACAUCCAUAGCAUUACUAAAAUAUAUGCAUAUAUUUACCAAGAUUAUUCUUGGUCUGAAAGUGUCGUAGCGACAACAUAGUUUGCACACACUUCUUCACCUAAUAUAGCUUUAGUUCUACAAGACAUAGAUAUCACAAAGCACACCACUUUUGAGUAGCACUUUGCAUGUUUAAUUCCCAUACGUUUCUACUUUUCAGCCCCUCCCAACUCCCAAGAGAAGACUAACCCAAGAGUAUCCCAAUCCCAUUUCCAAGUUUCUAUCAACAUCUUUCUUGUCUUCACUAAGACCAUUAGAAAGGACAAAUAUCGUUCACGAACUAUUUUAAAUAAGGGCAUACCUACAAACCCUUUUUCUUACCAAAUUUUUAACAUUUUCUUUAAACACUAGUAGCAGUAAACACUCUGACUGGAAUAAUACCUAACCAAACAGGUCCUUGAGUCUUCAUCUCAAUUCAUAGAACUGGAGGUGGCGAGUUAUGCAAAGGUGUGUGUAUAUAUAUAUAUAAAAGGAUACAUAUAAAUAAGGUCGAGUUUGCGUCUCUGAUUUUUCCUUUUUUUUUUCUUUUUUCAGAGACCCAAACUCAGCGCAGCUUUCACGUCUAGCCUCCAUGCAAACCCGCCAGAGUCCAAUCUCCAAACAUCGCACGGCACCAUCUUCGUGCACUUCUCG